UUGAGCAUUAUAUAUUUCUAUAGAUAUCUAUGGAAAAUGUUGACUAAAACCAGCUGAAAAAAAUAAAAAGAUUAUGAUAAAAUUCAUGAGAAUAAUUCCAACUGCAAUUAGAAUAAGACUUGUUUUAAACGGCAUAACUAAAAUGGUUUGAAAAUUCCUGGCAUCUCCCCAUGUUUUCCCGGUUUCCCGACAAUUUUUACCACCCCUGUUCAUUUGACCGCCACUUCCCCUAUACAACUCGCAUAGAGAAUCACAGUUCGCCUUACAUUCAAAACAAUUAAUCACUUUUAUCUGUUAAGGUUAAUGUACUCCGAACAGUUGAUUUUAUGUUGUACUGUAUUCAGUCUAAGGCUUAAGACGUUUAAAAAUGGUUUGCGUGAUGUAUGCCAAACAGUAACAAUAAAAGAUACUGUCCAGAUAUUGUAAAAUUAUACGGAGUUUCAAAUCUCCAAGAAAUGGUAAAAUUAUUACUUGACAUUCUGCGAAACGGUCAUUAUCGCAAAACACAAACACAUUUACAUUUUACCGUAUACAACCUAUUUUUAACAGUUUGACAAACAGUGGCUCGCUUUAGUGUUUGUGAGCGAAGUACCUACAAUAUUUUCAUCGUUUCGCCAUUUGUUUUGUUUGGUUUAGGAGUGAAAAAAAACUCGUGCGGAAAUAAAUUUUCAAGUGGCGGAUCUUUAUUUGAGAAGGAUUCAAGCUUCUUCCCUCUGAUUUAAGGCUUAUGAGCUAGAUCCCAAGUGACCCGUUUCAUAUCCAGAUUUCUCAGGAUGUGUUGUUGCAGUGACCUAGAAAUGAAACCAACAAAUCAUUACCGUUACCGAUCUUCCCGUAAUCUUCUAGCUGAGAAAUCGUGCUUCCAAGGCCCGAAUUGUGUGGGUAAGAAACCCCAGAGUUUGGAACGGCGAAAAAAGCAGAAAAAAAGUUGUGAAAUAAGAAACGCAAUCUGUUUUACAGUGUGAUUGCUCUGAUAUGAAUAAAAAAUACAUAAAAGACCAAA